GAUGAAGAGCGCAGCGAAAUGCGAUAAGUAAUGUGAAUUGCAGAAUUCAGUGAAUCAUCGAAUCUUUGAACGCACAUUGCGCCCAUUAGUAUUCUAGUGGGCAUGCCUGUUCGAGCGUCAUUAAUUCCACUUAAGCCCUGCUUAGUGUUGGGAAUCUACUCUAGUGGUGCUACCCUGGAGCUACCCCUGAAAGGGGGCUGGCCCGGUAGCUACCCUGUAGUUCCUCAAAGAUAGUGCGCGGAGUUGCGUGGUCCUCUGAGCUUAGUAACUAUACACCUAGCUUUUGAGUGUCCCGCGGCGCCUGCCGUUUAAACCCCAUCUUUUAAUGGUUGACCUCGGAUCAGGUAGGAAUACCCGCUGAACUUAAGCAUAUCAAUAAGCGGAGGA
rnacentral:misc_RNA from 1 species